rnacentral:rRNA from 1 species
GACGAACCGUGCGAACGUUAUUCGGAAUCACUGGGCUUAAAGAGCGCGUAGGCGGAUUGCCGCGUCGGAAUCUGAAAUCCCCCCGGCUCAACCGGGGAACUGGGUCCGAAACGGGCAGUCUUGAGGGACGUAGGGGGGGGCUGGAACUUCCGGUGGAGCGGUGAAAUGCGUUGAGAUCGGAAGGAACGCCCGUGGCGAAAGCGAGCCCCUGGACGUCUGCUGACGCUGAGGCGCGAAAAGCUAGGGGAGCGAACGGG